CCUACGGGUGGCAGCAGUGGGGAAUAUUGGACAAUGGGCGAAAGCCUGAUCCAGCCAUGCCGCGUGUGUGAAGAAGGCCUUCGGGUUGUAAAGCACUUUCAGUGGGGAAGAAAGCCUUGGGGCUAAUACCCUCGAGGAAGGACAUCACCCACAGAAGAAGCACCGGCUAACUCCGUGCCAGCAGCCGCGGUACUACGGAGGGUGCGAGCGUUAAUCGGAAUUACUGGGCGUAAAGCGCGCGUAGGCGGUCUGAUAAGCCGGUUGUGAAAGCCCCGGGCUCAACCUGGGAACGGCAUCCGGAACUGUCAGGCUAGAGUGCAGGAGAGGAAGGUAGAAUUCCCGGUGUAGCGGUGAAAUGCGUAGAGAUCGGGAGGAAUACCAGUGGCGAAGGCGGCCUUCUGGACUGACACUGACGCUGAGGUGCGAAAGCGUGGGUAGCAAACAGGAUUAGAUACCCGGGUAGUC
rnacentral:rRNA from 1 species